rnacentral:lncRNA from 1 species
CAUUCCUGCAGAAACCACAAUAAAGGGACGUGCCCUCAGUUGCCCUGUCUCCCUCUGCCUCAUGACUGACCGCGGUGCAUGACCUGAGUGGCCUUGUGUGGCCUGCUGCUUUCUCCCCAGUGAACUGUGAAUUACUAAUUGAGGCAUAUUUUGUGACUAUGGCAGAGGCAAAAAAGUACAAACAAAGGAGAAGGACUGAGGUGUUCUAUCUCUUUCCGGCACAAAUCAUCACUUCACAUAUCCCUUCUAGACAGCAGCUGUAUGAUAGCAUGAUACUUUUUUCUACUUGUUCUGAAGUGUGAACCGGAAAGAGCAGAAAGUGUUAGCCAGAGAAAAGACAUCCCUCUGUGAGGAUGCAUUUGGAGAAAAUGGUUGAUUCCCUUUAAGGAAUCAAGGUUAGCCUGCAGAGCUAAUAAAAGCCCCUUGGGAAAACUUGCCUGAUACCUUGUCUACACACUCUCUGUACAGGAUUGCUAAUCUGUGGCUAUCAAGCUCCAAACGCUAAUGCAAAUAAAACCACACAUGGACGUGCCUUUUAUCCAAGGACCCCCAGACCAGCCCCAGGAGGAAACCUAGCUGCUGUUCCCCUCACAACACCUUUCUCCAGUAGUAUCAUCACCCCACCUACCUAACAGAAGUUAGGGUCUCUACCCCUGAAGGGGAGAAUGAGAGAGAACAAAGAAAGAAACUGGUCAGUCAGGCAGUUUGGGUGGAUCCUUGGUUGAAUUCUUUCAAGCAAAAGAACAGCCUGAAAACUCAAGCUCCAGGCACAGAUAAGGGAACUUGCACA